GCAUUCUGUUUUAAUUGUUUCCUCCAGAAUAUCUAGAUGCAUGUAGUGUGUACACAGAUGCUCUUGAACUUUGCCCUUUGACUUUCAAGAAGGAGCGAUCUAUAAUGUACUCUAACCGAGCUGCAUGUAAGCUCAGGCUGGAACAGCUUGAGGAAGCCAUCAGUGACUGCACAGAAGCCUUAACACUCAACCCA